CAAACGACUCUCGGCAACGGAUAUCUCGGCUCACGCAUCGAUGAAGAACGUAGCAAAAUGCGAUACUUGGUGUGAAUUGCAGAAUCCCGUGAACCAUCGAGUUUUUGAACGCAAGUUGCGCCCGAAGCCAUUCGGCUGAGGGCACGUCUGCCUGGGUGUCACGC
rnacentral:rRNA from 2 species